rnacentral:rRNA from 1 species
CCUACGGGAGGCAGCAGUAGGGAAUCUUCCACAAUGGACGAAAGUCUGAUGGAGCAACGCCGCGUGAGUGAAGAAGGGUUUCGGCUCGUAAAGCUCUGUUGGUAGUGAAGAAAGAUAGAGGUAGUAACUAGCCUUUAUUUGACGGUAAUUACUUAGAAAGUCCCGGCUAACUCCGUGCCAGCAGCCGCGGUAAUACGUAGGUGGCAAGCGUUGUCCGGAUUUAUUGGGCGUAAAGCGAGUGCAGGCGGUUCAAUAAGUCUGAUGUGAAAGCCUUCGGCUCAACCGGAGAAUUGCAUCAGAAACUGUGGAACUGGAGUGCAGAAGAGGAGAGUGGAACUCCAGGUGUAGCGGUGGAAUGCGUAGAGAUAUGGAAGAACACCAGUGGCGAAGGCGGCUCUCUGGUCUGCAACUGACGCUGAGGCGCGAAAGCAUGGGUAGCGAACAGGAUUAGAUACCCCAGUAGUC